rnacentral:rRNA from 1 species
GUAAUGCAUAGGAAUCUGCCCGGUAGUGGGGGAUAACCUGAGGAAACUCAGGCUAAUACCGCAUACGUCCUACGGGAGAAAGCAGGGGCUCUUCGGACCUUGCGCUAUCGGAUGAGCUUAUGUCGGAUUAGCUGGUUGGUGAGGUAACGGCUCACCAAGGCGACGAUCCGUAGCUGGUCUGAGAGGAUGAUCAGCCACAUCGGGACUGAGACACGGCCCGAACUCCUACGGGAGGCAGCAGUGGGGAAUAUUGGACAAUGGGGGCAACCCUGAUCCAGCCAUGCCGCGUGUGUGAAGAAGGCCCUCGGGUUGUAAAGCACUUUCAGUGAGGAAGAAGGCUUGUCGGUUAAUACCCGGCAAGAAAGACAUCACUCACAGAAGAAGCACCGGCUAACUCCGUGCCAGCAGCCGCGGUAAUACGGAGGGUGCGAGCGUUAAUCGGAAUUACUGGGCGUAAAGCGUGCGUAGGCGGCUUGAUAAGCCGGUUGUGAAAGCCCCGGGCUCAACCUGGGAACGGCAUCCGGAACUGUCAGGCUAGAG